rnacentral:rRNA from 1 species
UGGGGAAUAUUGGACAAUGGGGGCAACCCUGAUCCAGCCAUGCCGCGUGUGUGAAGAAGGCCUUUUGGUUGUAAAGCACUUUAAGCAGUGAAGAAGACUCCAUGGUUAAUACCCAUGGACGAUGACAUUAGCUGCAGAAUAAGCACCGGCUAACUCUGUGCCAGCAGCCGCGGUAAUACAGAGGGUGCAAGCGUUAAUCGGAAUUACUGGGCGUAAAGCGAGCGUAGGUGGCUUGAUAAGUCAGAUGUGAAAGCCCCGGGCUUAACCUGGGAACGGCAUCUGAUACUGUUAGGCUAGAGUAGGUGAGAGGAAGGUAGAAUUCCAGGUGUAGCGGUGAAAUGCGUAGAGAUCUGGAGGAAUACCGAUGGCGAAGGCAGCCUUCUGGCAUCAUACUGACACUGAGGUUCGAAAGCGUGGGUAGCAAGCA